ACGGAGCACGCCGCGUGAGUGAAGAAGGUUUUCGGAUCGUAAAACUCUGUUGUUAAAGAAGAACAAGGAUGAGAGUAACUGCUCAUCCCCUGACGGUAUUUAACCAGAAAGCCACGGCUAACUACGUGCCAGCAGCCGCGGUAAUACGUAGGUGGCAAGCGUUGUCCGGAUUUAUUGGGCGUAAAGCGAGCGCAGGCGGUUCUUUAAGUCUGAUGUGAAAGCCCCCGGCUCAACCGGGGAGGGUCAUUGGAAACUGGAGAACUUGAGUGCAGAAGAGGAGAGUGGAAUUCCACGUGUAGCGGUGAAAUGCGUAGAUAUGUGGAGGAACACCAGUGGCGAAGGCGACUCUCUGGUCUGUAACUGACGCUGAGGCUCGAAAGCGUGGGGAGCAAACAGGAUUAGAUACCCUGGUAGUCCACGCCGUAAACGAUGAGUGCUAAGUGUUGGAGGGUUUCCGCCCUUCAGUGCUGCAGCUAACGCAUUAAGCACUCCGCCUGGGGAGUACGGCCGCAAGGCUGAAACUCAAAGGAAUUGACGG
rnacentral:rRNA from 1 species